AUGAUCCCACAAAGUUUUAAUCCCUUAAGCUUUUAACACCAUAAGUUUCAAAAAUCUUCUUUCUUUUCUUUAAAUUUGGUACGCAAUUAAACUAUCUAAAGUACAAGCUAACGAAUGUAAAAAGAGUUUCCAUGCAAUUGUUGGGUGGUUAUACGGGGGAUGUAGUAUAUAUAUCAUCUUCCCACGGCACCUUACUAAAAUUAACAGAAAAUGUUACUCGACAUUCUCUAAUGAAAACAAUCAUAUAUCUUGAAAAGACUAAACCGAUGGGAUAACUAUCACAUGCGUCAUGAUCGAGCUCGAUGGGGACGUUAGGUUAUAAUCCGAUCAAGUUGUUAAAAAAAAAUCAUAUAGUUUAACACCACAUUCUUCCUGAAAAAUGAGGGGACUAUCUGUAUACGGUCGAAAUAGAUUUCGGCCUUCGUACGUCCGAUCAAGUUCGAAUGAUGAUCGAUCGAAGUGAGACUCCGAAGAUGGAACAAACAAGCCUCGAACCCAAGGGCCGAUCCAUGUCGAGUUCGACGUCGUUAUCGAGUUCGAAUCCAAAUCGAACUAUGAUGCAGAGUAAAGCUAUCAUGCUUAUGAUUCAGAAACCAACCAACAUUGACCCCGAAUCAAUUCGAGAGCUCGAGUCCGAAUCGAGCUCGGGCCAAGAUCGAGAGCUCGAGUCAAAAUCGAGCUCAAGCCAAGAUCGAGGGCUCGAGGCAAGAUCGAGCUCACGGACAAAAGCCGUUGAAAUUCCACUAGUGAGAAUCUUGGCAGAAAUUGUGGAAAAACUGAUUUAUUAUGGGUCUCCCACUGAGUAUUUUUUAUUAUGCUUAGAGCAAGGUCCAUCUACUAUAAAGGGCAUGGUUAUCAUUUAUGAAAAGGUAGGUUUUGCGAUGCUUACAUUGUAAUUAAAACACUAUAUUCUCCCAUAGAAAAGAAUCGUUCUUUCAGGCUUCUUAAAUUGAUUCUACUUGUUGAGUCCUAAGAUUCAUUUUCUUUACAACCUUAUCUAUUUCGCAUUCUUUGCAGUCCAUAUUUAUAUUUCUAUUUAUCCUUACAAUUUGUAUUAAGUUGCGCCACAUAUCCUUGGAACUACGUAUAAAUUCAACUCUAUCUAUUUUUCGGGUAAACAAAUGCAUCUAUUAUAUUUUAUAUAUAUGGCUUAGUUUGGCGAGAACAAAGUUUAAAAAUAUAAACACAACUUUUAAUCUUGUGGUCUAAAACUAAAAUACGUGUAAUGUACCAAAAAUGGAUUUUGAAUCAUGUGAUUUUUAAAAGGUCGUAUCAUUCCUAUAAGAAAAUGUCAUUAAGAGUAAAUUAGAAACGUUAGGAUUAAAAGCUUACCAAAUAUAUAAAGUGUGGAGUAUUUCUUAAAGAGAAUUAAAUCCAACUCCCCUUUAUUUUCUAGUCUCUCCAUUUCUCCAAGUUCCUACUUAGAUUGGAGAUAUUUCUCAUAGUUAAAUAUCAAAGAAUGAGAUUUAAUUGAAUAAAUUAAAGUCCUAACCAUAGUUAAAGUAUUUAAUUUUUUCUUUUAUCCAUUCCCAAAUAUAAUUUUUGUCUCUCUUAGUAAUAGAACUUCCUAUAGUUCCUCCCUCUUCGUGCCAAAAUACAUAUGCUCUUAAGGCAACACCGAAAAUCAUAGCACCAGAGAAAAUCUUUCAGAUUUUUAUCAUGAAAAUCAAGUUCUUGAAGGUCAUUGUUAGGUUAAAAUCAACAGAAAAAAAUAACAAGUGAAAAAACAGAGAAUAAGACAGGAAGUCACGAAACUUCAUUUUUCUGGUAAUAUCUCACCAAUUUUUGUCAGGUUUUACUUUAUCCAUUAAUUCGAUUCCUUAGAACUCAGAUACUUUAUGCUUUUCUUGGUGUGGCAAAUGUCAAGUGAAAAAUUAUAUACUAUGUGUUUGUGAAAUUUACUAUCCGAACUCUUUGGUAUGGGAAGAAUGGACUCUGAUAUUUGAAUUUCUUGACUGAACCUUUUCGUGUGGAAUUUCGAUACUUAAUUAUUCUAUUCUUUGGUCUACUAGCUAGAUAUUAUUUGGGAAUUGAUAAAAGAAGAAAUUAAAUACUUUAAUAAUGAUUAGAGAUUUAAACUAUUCAAUUAAAUUUUAUUUAUUAAUUUUAAUCAUGAUAAGUAUCUCUAAUCCAACGGACAUGGAGAAAUCAAAAGACUAGAAAUGAAUGGGAGUUGAAUCUAUAAAAAAAAGUAAGACCUAUAUAUAAACGAAAAAAGAGGAAGUACUUGACAAUACUCUAUCAUUCUCAAAUUGAAAAACUAAUGAUUUAACACAAUAUUUCUACUUUGGUCCUAUUAAUUUCGGCGGUUUCCAAUGCAAGGGCUUUGAGUGGACCG
rnacentral:lncRNA from 1 species